AGAGUAACACAUGAAGAAGAUGGUAGUCCAUCAUGAGGCAAAGUCACGUCGUUUUAUGAAAUAAAUAACACUGGGUAAUUGAAAAAAACUGAAACAGUUUAAUUUAAACGCUGAUGAAAGUGUUAUAGUAGAAAAUUUAUGCAUUUUUUUGGUGUAUCGUUGGUGAAAAUUCUCAAGGAGUAUUCCUCGAUUUCUAUCAAGGACACAGAAAAAAAGAGUGAAAUCAGUUUCAUUGUCAUGGAGCCGAAAAACAAAAAACAGCUAUAUGUAUCGUGAACUCCAAAUAAUAUCUAGAUACCUACUAUUAUGAGAGUUUGUGAAAUAAAUUUCAUCGAAAUAGUUUUAAUCAUACGAAAAUGGGAACCUACAGUUCUGAAAGAUCGAUUCAUGAUAUUAUUUAGAUUAAUAAACCAAGAAAUUUUUUGGAAAAACCGAUCUCGAAUUCUAAAAUAUAAUUCCAACUUAUCGAAAAGAGACGUAUAUAUCCCGAUAUACUUCCAGCAACAGAGAACGAGAGUAAGCGAUAAUAUAUAAUAAACACACAAUCGGCAAGAAAACGAUACACAAGCGUGGAAGAAAAGGACAAGAUAUUUACAACAACAAGACGAAGGUGCAAACGAUUAAUCACAAUGCUAAAGAAGAGGAAAGAACAUGCAUUAAGAUGGAUCCAAUGGGUUACAACUCUUACUACCACCUCAAGAGAGAUGAUCAACUUCUACAAAAUGGCUAUAAUGGCUACAAUAACAAGGAGUCGUGUAGAAGCUGGCAAUUCGCUAUUAUUUCAAGAAAAAUGAAAGUGAUAUUAUCCUGUAAGCUGUGUGUAAUAUUUUUAUUUCUUUGUUUUUAAUAACCUUUCAAGGAUAGACAUUGUGAGACCAAAAUAGCCAUAUAUAUA